UACAGAGGUCCCAAGCGUUGUUCGGAUUCACUGGGCGUAAAGGGUGCGUAGGCGGCUUCUCAAGUCAGGGGUGAAAGCCCAGAGCUCAACUCUGGAACUGCCUUUGAGACUGAGAGGCUUGAGUACGGGAGAGGUGAGUGGAAUUCCCAGUGUAGAGGUGAAAUUCGUAGAUAUUGGGAAGAACACCGGUGGCGAAGGCGGCUCACUGGCCCGAAACUGACGCUCAUGCACGACAGCGUGGGGAUCAAACAGG
rnacentral:rRNA from 1 species